GCCUCCGGCGCCGCGCCGGAGGAGCACGAGAACACUCGGCAGUAUUCGUCAGCCAAUGGCGAGCGCCGCGCCGAGGGGGGCCCUCGGCCGCGGUGGCGGCGAGCGCGCCGGCUGAGAGGGUCGCUUCAGAGAGAAUUGCUGUUGUUUCUUUUAAUUGAAAGUUCUCUCAAACAUUGAUUGUUUUCUUUUUGUUUUGAUGCCGGGAAGAGAUGGAAUUAUCACUGCAGAUCACGGAAGUUGCGAAAAGCACUUAGAGCCCCCACUAAAUGGUCAAGUAACAGCAGAGUAAUGUACCACGGUGAAACCUGCACGGCAGGAAUUCCAAUGCCAAAGGCCCAGGGCACUCUUGUUUGUCCCUAGCCUUGGGGAAGCUCAUGCAACAGGUAACUAAGGAAGUUGAUAAUCAGACCUUUUAGCCCCUGACCGGGUAGGUGAGUUUCUAGCUGGCACCUUUCCUGCAGCAACUUGUCUACAAGUGUGUACUGGAGCUUUUAAAUUCACAUAGUGCAUCAGGUUCUGGAUUAAAAAAUGGAUCAUAAUUUUUUUAGUACUGCAUAUCAUGUUGGAUGUACCAAACUUGACCUGAAAUGUAGAAGGGAGAAAGGGGCAGAAUUAAUUAUUUUACAGUCACUUAUAACUAUAAAUGAGAUUUUCAAAUAUUUAUUAUAAACCGAGUUUUCUCCUUGGUAAGUCACUAUAACCUGGGCCUGUAUUUAUCGUUAUUUUAUUCCUGUUCAGUAAUAUUCACUCAUCAGAGCUAUAAAGUGUAAUAUGCAAUAUUUUAUGAGAACAAUUGAUUAUGAUAGAUGGUGUAGAAUUAAAAAAUUAUAUAGAUGAAUGUAAUAUUUUUCCCCAGUCUAUUAUUGAAUUGUUCUGUCUCAUUUUUUUUUAAGUUUCCAAAUUAAUAUGAACACAAGUUUUUUAAUACCUGUAAUAGUUUAAGGUCAUUAGGUCAUUAGUCGAUUUACUUGUUUAUUUAUGAGGACUAAAUUCUAGUACUUCUGGAAAAAGCUCUUUUUCUUCUUAAAAAAUAUGUUCCUAAUAUUCCUAAUAGAUGAAAAAUUAGUAGAACAUUUCUAUCUAUGAUUUCUUUUUACUUUAAAGUUUGGUAGUUGUUUGGUUGUUUGGUUUUUGUUUUUUUUUUUUUUUGGGGGGGGGGUUUGUUUAUUUCUAUCACCUUAUAUUUCCUAGCUUAAUAGUAGUAAAAUAGUAAUAUUUAAGUGGUUUUUUUCACACUGAUAUUAUUACAAUUGAUAUGGAAUUACCAUACCAAAAUGAACUUUGUAGUAAAUACUUAAUAUAAAAACUUUAAUUACAUAAUUUAAUUUCUUGUUUUCAAUUAGUUAAAAAAUAUGGUAAUUUUCCUUGUCAGUUUCCUUUCAAAAUUUUCAAUAUUUGAUCACAGUAGUGCAAAUUUUUUGUGGAUUAAAUAAUAUUAGAGGUUUUGAGUUUUAAUCCCACGUGUAAGUACAUGUUUUAUUCCCAGUUUGCAAACCAUACUGAAUUUUCACGCACUCUUUUGUUUUUGGAUUUUUUUUUCCAUGUUAAUGUAUCUCAGUAUAUUAAAAUGCAUCAUUUGCUUCUUAAAAUGGA